rfam:Streptomyces mobaraensis NBRC 13819 = DSM 40847 contig143, whole genome shotgun sequence.
UCGGCCCCGGUUCACGUACGGCAAUCCCGCCGCACGACCCGGUGCC